rnacentral:rRNA from 1 species
ACGAACGCUGGCGGCUGCUUAACACAUGCAAGUCGAACGGAGUGGCGAAAGGGUGAGUAACGCGUGAGCAACCUGCCUAUGACAGUGGGAUAGCCUCGGGAAACCGGGAUUAAUACCGCAUAGUCAUAGAUGGGCUCGCGUCUGAUUAGCUAGUUGGUGAGAUAACAGCCAACCCAGGCGACGAACAGUAGCCGGGCUGAGAUGAUGAACGGCCACAUUGGAACUGAGACACGAUCAAAACUCCUACGGGAGGCAGCAGUAGGGAAUAUUGCACAAUGGGGGAAGCCCUGAUGCAGCGACGCCGCGUGAACGAAGAAGAUAUUCGUAUCGUAAAGUUCUGUCCUAUAGGAAGCAGAACCAUGGAAGAAAGCUCCGGCGAAAUACGUACCAGCAGCCGCGGUAAUUC